UACGUAGGGUGCAAGCGUUAUCCGGAAUUAUUGGGCGUAAAGAGCUCGUAGGCGGUUUGUCGCGUCUGCUGUGAAAACUGGGGGCUCAACCCCCAGCCCUGCAGUGGGUACGGGCAGACUAGAGUGCGGUAGGGGAGAUUGGAAUUCCUGGUGUAGCGGUGGAAUGCGCAGAUAUCAGGAGGAACACCGAUGGCGAAGGCAGGUCUCUGGGCCACUACUGACGCUGAGAAGCGAAAAGCAUGGGGAGCGAACAGG
rnacentral:rRNA from 1 species